rnacentral:rRNA from 1 species
GUGUCAGCAGCCGCGGUAAUACGUAGGGUGCGAGCGUUAAUCGGAUUUAUUGGGCGUAAAGGGUGCGUAGGCGGUCUUUUAAGUCAGGAGUGAAAGGCUACGGCUCAACCGUAGUAAGCUCUUGAAACUGGAGGACUUGAGUGCAGGAGAGGAGAGUGGAAUUCCUAGUGUAGCGGUGAAAUGCGUAGAUAUUAGGAGGAACACCAGUAGCGAAGGCGGCUCUCUGGACUGUAACUGACGCUGAGGCACGAAAGCGUGGGGAGCAAACAGGAUUAGAUACCCUGGUAGUCCACGCCGUAAACGAUGAGUACUAGGUGUCGGGGGUUACCCCCCUCGGUGCCGCAGCUAACGCAUUAAGUACUCCGCCUGGGGAGUACGCUCGCAAGAGUGAAACUCAAAUAAAUUGGCGG